GUGCCAGCCGCCGCGGUAAGACAGAGGGGGCAAGCGUUGUCCGGACUUACUGGGCGUAAAGCGCACGCAGGCGGUCACGGGCGUCGGUGCUGAAAGCGCGCCGCUUAACGGCGCAAUGCGUACCGAUACGCUGUGACUGGAGCAAUGCAGAGGCCAGUGGAAUUGCCGGUGUAGUGGUGAAAUGCGUAGAGAUCGGCAGGAACACCCAAGGGGAAGCCAGCUGGCUGGGCAUUUGCUGACGCUCAUGUGCGACAGCGUGGGGAGCGAACUGGAUUAGAUACCCGCGUAGUCC
rnacentral:rRNA from 1 species